GAAAGUACCUAAAUCCCAAGCAGUGAGGCUGUUGGCUACAUCACGCCAUGUGGAAAACCACCCUCUGGAUGGAAGUGGGAGAGCUGUGGCUAAGGCAGAGGGUCAGCAAGUUUACUGUCACCUUCCUUAUCACACCAGCAGAAUGGGAAUGUCCCACAGCACGGCUGCAGCCACGGCUUCCACACCACGUUGUACACAGAGAGCUGCUCCGGGACUGGAGUCAGUGUCCUGCGAUGCUCUUCGAUGGCUCUUCCCAUCUUCCUUAUGACAGUGUCAAAGAGGGGCUCAGUGUCAGCUGAGAGAGACAGAAAACUUCUGGAUUGAAGCUCCACUUUCUGCUAUUGCAAACCACCACUGUGCUACUGAAGCGAAGGCAGCAGGUUCAUCUCCUGCCAGCUGCUGCCCACAUAUCAAACUGUAUGACAAGGCUACACCACAGCUCUGCUUUUCCUUCCCUGGCCCACACAUGCAUUUCUGAUAUUAGGUGCUAUUCCUUAAAGCUACGAUAUUGGUCUCAUUGAUAGAUUUAUGUAUUUCCCCAAUAUAGCCCAGAAAUAUUCAGUCCAACACAUGGACAUUUGGAAAUGUUAUUAGCUUUAGUGAAGCGAGUAAUAUGGGACAUCCUUAAGCAGCAGCUAAUUUUUUGGUUUAAUGAUAUCAUAUACUUAUUGAUAAUAUUUAAAAUGAAUAGGCAUAAUAAUACUUAUAAUCCUAUAUAAUAUUAU